AUUGAACGCUGGCGGCAUGCCUUACACAUGCAAGUCGAACGGCAGCACGGGUGCUUGCCCCUGGUGGCGAGUGGCGAACGGGUGAGUAAUACAUCGGAACAUGUCCUGUAGUGGGGGAUAGCCCGGCGAAAGCCGGAUUAAUACCGCAUACGAUCUACGGAUGAAAGCGGGGGACCUUCGGGCCUCGCGCUAUCGGGUUGGCCGAUGGCUGAUUAGCUAGUUGGUGGGGUAAAGGCCUACCAAGGCGACGAUCAGUAGCUGGUCUGAGAGGACGACCAGCCACACUGGGACUGAGACACGGCCCAGACUCCUACGGGAGGCAGCAGUGGGGAAUUUUGGACAAUGGGCGAAAGCCUGAUCCAGCAAUGCCGCGUGUGUGAAGAAGGCCUUCGGGUUGUAAAGCACUUUUGUCCGGAAAGAAAUCCUUGGCCCUAAUACGGUCGGGGGAUGACGGUACCGGAAGAAUAAGCACCAGCUAACUACGUG
rnacentral:rRNA from 1 species